AUUCAGCUGAUGGGUUCCAAAUAGGACGAAACGCGCGUCCUGGAU
rnacentral:hammerhead_ribozyme from 1 species